UGGUGUUUAUAGCGUAAUGGUACCACUACGAUCCAUACCGAACUCGUGAGUUAAAUGUUACAGCGGCGAAGAUACUGCUAGAGGAGUCUAGUGGAAAACUAGCACGAUGCCAAAGAA
rnacentral:rRNA from 1 species